rnacentral:rRNA from 1 species
CGAAUGGCUCAUUAAAUCAGCUAUGGUUCCUUAGAUCGUACCUACUACAUGGAUAACUGUAGUAAUUCUAGAGCUAAUACAUGCCACUAUGCCCUGACCCUCUGGGAACGGGUGGAUUUAUUAGAACAGAACCAACCGGUUGUGGCUUCGGCUGCUUCCGUGGAACUGUGAUGACUCUGGAUAACUUCACUGAUCGCAGUCGGCCUCGUGUCGGCGACGGAUCUUUCAAAUGUCUGCCCUAUCAAUUUUCGAUGGUAGGUGACCUGCCUACCAUGGUGAUAACGGGUAACGGGGAAUCAGGGUUCGAUUCCGGAGAGGGAGCCUGAGAAACGGCUACCACUUCCAAGGAAGGCAGCAGGCACGCAAAUUACCCAAUCCCGGCACGGGGAGGUAGUGACGAAAAAUACGGAUACGGGACUCAAUAGAGGCUCCGUAAUUCGAAUGAGUACAAUUUAAAUCCUUUAACGAGGAUCAACUGGAGGGCAAGUCUGGUGCCAGCAGCCGCGGUAACUCCAGCUCCAGAAGCGUAUAUUAAAGUUGUUGCAGUUAAAAAGCUCGUAGUUGGAUCUGGGUCGUAUGGCUACAUGCCGUUGCUUGUAUUCGCGGUUCGGUUACGACUGGAUCGUGUUUGCGAGUCGGUGUCGUGGUUGUGCAGCCUUUCUGCCGUGUCUGUUUCGACAGGUGCUUACUGAAUCGGUGAGUUCGUCUUGCUGGUUUGUUUGCAUGCUUCCGUAUGCCUUUUAACGGGUGUCGGGGGCGGACGGCACGUUUACUUUGAACAAAUUUGAGUGCUCAAAGCAGGCCCGUGUGCCUGAAAAUUCUUGCAUGGAAUAAUGGAAUAAGGACUUCGGUUCUAUUUUGUUGGUUUUCG